rfam:Salmonella enterica subsp. arizonae serovar 62:z4,z23:--, complete genome.
CUUCCGAUGUAGACCCGUUCUCCUUCGCCUGCGUCACGGGUCUCGGUUAGACGCAGGCGUUUUCUG